CUGGAGUGUGUGUGUGUGUGUAUGUGUGCAUGCAUGCGUGCGCGCGCACACGCACACACACACACACCAU